AGCAGUAGCCGCGGGAAUACCGAGGGUGCGAGCGUUAAUCGGAUUUACUGGGCGUAAAGCGUGCGUAGGCGGCUUCUUAAGUCGGAUGUGAAAUCCCUGAGCUUAACUUAGGAAUUGCAUUCGAUACUGGGAAGCUAGAGUAUGGGAGAGGAUGGUAGAAUUCCAGGUGUAGCGGUGAAAUGCGUAGAGAUCUGGAGGAAUACCGAUGGCGAAGGCAGCCAUCUGGCCUAAUACUGACGCUGAGGUACGAAAGCAUGGGGAGCAAACAGGAUUAGAGACCCCUGUAGUCCCUGUCUCUUAUAC
rnacentral:rRNA from 1 species